rnacentral:misc_RNA from 1 species
GGGGAAAGGAGAAGAAGCGAGAGGAGAGAAAAGAAGAAGAAAGAAAAGAAAGAGAGAAGGAAAGAAGAAGAGGAAAAGAAAGAGAGAAAGGGAAGGUCUGAACUUCAUUUGCAUGGUGAAUCAACCAAAUUUUUGGCAGAAAAUGAGAGGUUAUGGUGAGAGAUUGUAAGUUUUAGAGAGAAAAAUAAAUAGUUUUGGUUAGAGAGAGAAAGUAGAUUUCAAGCAAAAAUUCUAAUUUUAACAUUUUUCUUAGAUCAUGUAGAUGUUUAUGAGCAUUCUUAAUUCCUGGAUCAUUCUCAAAUAAGAACUUGGGUGUGACAACAGCCUUCUACCAUGGCUUCUACUUCUUCUACUCCUCCCGAUCAGUGGAAGACAUGGGAUGCUUUCAUUAGUUUUAGAGGCAAAGAUAUCCGUCAGGGUUUUCUCUCCCAUCUCUUUAAAGCUUUGUCGGGAAAACAAAUCAAUGCCUUCUUGGAUGAAAACCUUGAAAAAGGAGAAGAGAUCUCAAGUUCUCUACUGGAAACAAUUGAAGAUUCAUACGUUUCAGUAGUGGUUUUCUCUAAAAAUUAUGCAGAUUCCCCAUGUCACUUGGAUGAGCUUGUGAAGAUAUUUCAAUGCAUUAAAACAUCUGGACAAAUAGUCGUUCCAUUAUUUUAUCGUGUAGAUCCGACUGAUGUUCAAGAGCUAAGAGGGAAUUUUGGAGAGGCAUUUAGUAAGCAUAAAAAAGAAGAAAAAAUUUUGGAAGGAUGGCGGCGUGCCUUGAUGGAAAUAAGCAACUUAGCAGGAUGAGACUCACGCAACAUCAGGUGAGUUAAUUAUAGUCCUAAUUGGAUACAUGAAGAAUGCCUCUAUUUCAGUGAUGCCUAAUUUAAAAAGAAAUGACAACAAUAUAUAUAUAAAUAUUUAAUUGGAUACUAUUUGUUUGUUUCUUAUAUAUGUUUUCUUUUUUUCCUCUUUGAAAUAAUUCUCAUUUAUGGAUCUAAGGAAAAUAUUCUUCUUAUUCAUGUUUAUAAUUAUUAAUUCAUAGUUUUUAACAUAUGUGUACCCUCAACAUAUAAUAUCUUAAUUUUUAAAAACAUUUAUGUUUUACCUUUAUGUUAUGCGUGUUAUUUUAA